UAGGAUUAGAUACCCUGGUAGUCCACGCCGUAAACGAUGUCGAUUUGGAGGUUGUGCCCUUGAGGCGUGGCUUCCGGAGCUAACGCGUUAAAUCGACCGCCUGGGGAGUACGGCCGCAAGGUUAAAACUCAAAUGAAUUGACGGGGGCCCGCACAAGCGGUGGAGCAUGUGGUUUAAUUCGAUGCAACGCGAAGAACCUUACCUGGUCUUGACAUCCACAGAACUUUCCAGAGAUGGAUUGGUGCCUUCGGGAACUGUGAGACAGGUGCUGCAUGGCUGUCGUCAGCUCGUGCCG
rnacentral:rRNA from 1 species